UCCUUGAUGGUCCAGUGGUUGAGACUCUACACUUCCACUGCAGGGGAGUGCAGGUUUGAUCCCUGAUCAGGGAA
rnacentral:tRNA from 1 species